CAGUAGCCGCGGUAAUACGUAGGUCCCGAGCGUUGUCCGGAUUUAUUGGGCGUAAAGCGAGCGCAGGCGGUUAGAUAAGUCUGAAGUUAAAGGCUGUGGCUUAACCAUAGUACGCUUUGGAAACUGUUUAACUUGAGUGCAAGAGGGGAGAGUGGAAUUCCAUGUGUAGCGGUGAAAUGCGUAGAUAUAUGGAGGAACACCGGUGGCGAAAGCGGCUCUCUGGUCUGUAACUGACGCUGAGGAGCGAAAGCGUGGGGAGCGAACAGGAUUAGAUACCCCCGUAGUCCCUGUCUCUUAUACA
rnacentral:rRNA from 1 species